rnacentral:rRNA from 1 species
GAUGGACCCGCGGUGCAUUAGCUAGUUGGUGAGGUAACGGCUCACCAAGGCCACGAUGCAUAGCCGACCUGAGAGGGUGAUCGGCCACACUGGGACUGAGACACGGCCCAGACUCCUACGGGAGGCAGCAGUAGGGAAUCUUCGGCAAUGGACGAAAGUCUGACCGAGCAACGCCGCGUGAGUGAAGAAGGUUUUCGGAUCGUAAAACUCUGUUGUUAGAGAAGAACAAGGAUGAGAGUAGAACGUUCAUCCCUUGACGGUAUCUAACCAGAAAGCCCCGGCUAACUACGUGCCAGCAGCCGCGGUAAUACGUAGGGGGCAAGCGUUGUCCGGAUUUAUUGGGCGUAAAGCGAGCGCAGGCGGUUUCUUAAGUCUGAUGUGAAAGCCCCCGGCUCAACCGGGGAGGGUCAUUGGAAACUGGGAGACUUGAGUGCAGAAGAGGAGAGUGGAAUUCCUAGUGUAGCGGUGAAAUGCGUAGAUAUUAGGAGGAACACCAGUGGCGAAGGCGGCUCUCUGGUCUGUAACUGACGCUGAGGCUCGAAAGCGUGGGGAGCGAACAGGAUUAGAUACCCUGGUAGUCCACGCCGUAAACGAUGAGUGCUAAGUGU